rnacentral:lncRNA from 1 species
GUCAAAACUUUUUGGACUAGUUUGUGACAGCAUACUUCCUCAUCUCCAGGUUUCUUUGUCUUAGCCAAUAUCAUCAACCCCCAUGUCUUCCUUCUUUCCCCUCUUCCCUUAUCCUUCUUUAUCCGGUUUUUCAUCGUUACAUGGUGGGGAGGAUAUUUUGCUGUCUCGACGGUCUCCCUAUGAAUUCUUUUUAAUUUCGUUCUUAUUAUUCUUGUGGAUUCAAUUCUUCAGGCAUCCUUUGGUGAAAAUUAUGGAGGAACUCUUAAUGUCUCUUCUAUCAAGGACUGAUGUAUUAAAGAUAUGGUUCUAAACUUCACCGCCGUUGGAUUUAUGAUACAAUUUCAUAGUUGAAAAUACCAUGAUCGUUGGCAUUACAUUCUCUUCUAGCAACUGGAAUCUGGCCAUGACACCUGAUGAUGUAGGCGAGUCAUUGCUGUGCAGGUGCUUUCUGCAUGAUGAUCCUGUUAGCGAUGUUUGAAAC